CCUACGGGGGGCAGCAGUGGGGAAUAUUGCACAAUGGGGGAAACCCUGAUGCAGCGACGCCGCGUGAGUGAAGAAGUAUCUCGGUACGUAAAGCUCUAUCAGCAGGGAAGAAAAAAAGUCUUUGGCUUUGGACGGUACCUGACUAAGAAGCCCCGGCUAACUACGUGCCAGCAGCCGCGGUAAUACGUAGGGGGCAAGCGUUAUCCGGAUUUACUGGGUGUAAAGGGAGCGUAGGCGGCUGUGUAAGCCAGAAGUGAAAGCCCGAGGCUCAACCACGGGACUGCUUUUGGAACUACAUGGCUUGG
rnacentral:rRNA from 1 species